UACAGAGGUCUCAAGCGUUGUUCGGAUUCAUUGGGCGUAAAGCGUGCGCAGGCGGUUCGUUAAGUUCGUCGUGAAAGCCCCGGGCUCAACCUGGGAAUGGCGAUGGAAACUGGCGGGCUGGAGUGCGGCAGAGGGGGGUGGAAUUCCACGUGUAGCAGUGAAAUGCGUAGAGAUGUGGAGGAACACCGAUGGCGAAGGCAGCCCCCUGGGCCGACACUGACGCUCAGGCACGAAAGCGUGGGGAGCAAACAGG
rnacentral:rRNA from 1 species